rnacentral:lncRNA from 1 species
UAGAACCCUUGCAGAUUCUAAGCUUGGGGUUGAUCUCUUUAGGGGAUCGGCCUCCUUGGAACUCUAUAGGGGUUCCUUCCUCCAAGUUGCUGCUCAAAGGCUGCAGAAAAGAUUCAUCUAUUGCUUAUGAAAAGAGGAGGAAUACAUGACUAUUUAUAGGGCUUCUAAACCCUAACUCAUAAUAGGACUCCUACUCAAGACUCCUACUUCUAACCAACUCCUAAUAUGACUCCUACUCAAGACUCCUA